rnacentral:rRNA from 1 species
UGUAGUCUAGAGAAGUGUUAUCCGCGCAGACCCUUAUAGAUUUCGGUUGGAAUGCCAAGUCAAAGAGGGUGAGAAUCCCGUAUUUGAUAAGGUGGUCUUGUGCAUUGUGAUACAUUUUCAAAGAGUCGAGUUGUUUGGGAAUGCAGCUCAAAGUGGGUGGUAAAUUCCAUCUAAAGCUAAAUAUUGGCGAGAGACCGAUAGCGAACAAGUACCGUGAGGGAAAGAUGAAAAGCACUUUGGAAAGAGAAUGAAAUAGUACCUGAAAUUGCUGAAAGGGAAACGAGUGAAGUUAGACUUGCGCAGUUGGUAUUCAGCCUUGGCUUCGGUCUUGGUGCAUUUGCCUUCUAUUGCAGGCCAACAUCAGUUUACUUUGCGGUAAAAGGGUUUGGGGAAUGUGGCUUCUUCGGGAGUGUUAUAGCCCUUUACUGGAUGCCGAAUCGUAGACUGAGGAACGCAGCGCGCCUUUAUGGCAAGGCUUUCAAGCCUCGAGCGCUUAGGAUGUUGGUAGAAUAGCUUUACACGACCCGUCUUGAAACACGGACCAAGGAGUCUAACAUGCUUGCGAGUGUUUGGGUGUCAAACCCGAGCGCGGAAUGAAAGUGAAUGCAGGUG